rnacentral:rRNA from 1 species
GGAGUUAGCCGGUGCUUCUUCUGCGAGUAACGUCACAGAUGUAAGGUAUUAACUUACACCCUUUCCUCCUCGCUGAAAGUGCUUUACAACCCGAAGGCCUUCUUCACACACGCGGCAUGGCUGCAUCAGGGUUUCCCCCAUUGUGCAAUAUUCCCCACUGCUGCCUCCCGUAGGAGUCUGGGCCGUGUCUCAGUCCCAGUGUGGCUGAUCAUCCUCUCAGACCAGCUAGGGAUCGUCGCCUAGGUGAGCCUUUACCUCACCUACUAGCUAAUCCCACCUGGGCUUAUCCAUCAGCGCAAGGCCCGAAGGUCCCCUGCUUUCCCCCGUAGGGCGUAUGCGGUAUUAGCAGUCGUUUCCAACUGUUAUCCCCCACAAAUGGGCAAAUUCCCAGGCAUUACUCACCCGUCCGCCGCUCGUCAUCUUCAAAAGCAAGCUUUUGAAAUGUUACCGCUCGACUUGCAUGUGUUAGGCCUGCCGCCACGCGUCAUCUGAGCCAGAUACAACUACUGA